rnacentral:rRNA from 1 species
AGAGUAUACGGGGGAUGUCUUGGGGCUAUCUGGUGAUGAAGGUCGUGGCAAGCUGCGAAAAGCUUCGGGCAGGAGCAAACAUCCAUUUAUCCGAAGAUCACCGAAUGGGGUAACCCAAUAAACCAAAUGUUUAUUACCACAUGCUGAAUUCAUAGGCAUGUGGAGCAAAACCCAGGGAAUUGAACCAUCUUAGUACCUGGAGGAAAAGAAAUCAACCGAGAUUCCCUUAGUAGCGGCGAGCGAAAAGGGAAGAGCCCAAACCACUGGAGUGUAAGAGGUGCAUCGUUGCUUCAGUGGGGUUGUAGGGCUGUUAUGCUAAGUUGUACCACUUAGUGCAGAGUUACAAAAUUUCAUUAUAGUAGAAAGUUUCUGGAACGUGCUACCACAGAGGGUGAUAGUCCCGUAAAUGAAAUAAUGAAGUCUCUGAAACAGUUCCUGAGUAGGGCGGGGCACGUGAAACCCUGUCUGAAUCCGGGAGGACCACCUUCCAAGGCUAAAUACAAGGUAGCCACCGAUAGUGAAACAGUACCGUGAGGGAAAGAUGAAAAGAACCCCGGGAGGGGAGUGAAAUAGAACCUGAAACCGUAUACUUACAAGCAGUCAAAGCCCUGUUUACAGGGUGAUGGCGUGCCUUUUGUAGAAUGAGCCUGCGAGUUAUCAUGCAAAGCAAGGUUAAAAAAUUGAAGUUUUGGAGCCGUAGGGAAACCAAGUCUGAAUAGGGCGAAUAGUUUUGUGUGAUAGACCCGAAGCCGAGUGAUCAACUUAUGGCCAGGCUGAAGCUUAGGUAAAACUAAGUGGAGGGCCGAACCCUAGUCAGUUUAAAAUGGCAGGGAUGAGCUGUGAGUAGGAGUGAAAGGCUAAUCAAACUCGGCAAUAGCUGGUUCUCGCCGAAAUAGCUUUAGGGCUAGCCUUGUGUUUAGUUUUACGGAGGUAGAGCACUGGUUGAGCUAGGGCCCUUCGCGGGGUACCAAACUUAAAUAAACUCCGAAUGCCGUAAAAUGAUUCACGGGAGUCAGUCUCUGGGGGAUAAGCUCCAGGGACGAGAGGGAAACAACCCAGACUGCCGGCUAAGGUCCCCAAGUUAGUGCUAAGUGGAAUAAGGAAGUGUAGUGGCAAAGACAGCCAGGAGGUUGGCUUAGAAGCAGCCAUCCCUUGAAAGAGUGCGUAAUAGCUCACUGGUCAAGUCACUAUGUGCCGAUAAUGUAACGGGUCUAAGCACUACACCGAAGCCGCAGAACUGUAGCAAUACAGUUGGUAGGCGAGUGUUCCGGAUGCUGUUGAAGGUAUAUCGUGAGGUGUACUGGAGGUAACGGAAGUAAGAAUGCAGGCAUGAGUAACGAAAAAAGAGGUGAGAUUCCUCUUCGCCGAAAAUCUAAGGUUUCCUGGGUAAAGGUCGUCUUCCCAGGGUUAGUCGGUCCCUAAGACGAGGUCGAAAGACGUAGUCGAUGGACAACAGGUUCAUAUUCCUGUACCUCUAUAUUGGACUGAUGGAGUGACGCAUAAGGUGAAAUUCAGCCGGGCGAUGGUUGUCCCGGUCAAAGCAGUAAGCCGUUGAGGAAGUUGGCAAAUCCGCUUCCAUAGGUAAGCUGUGAAUGCGAGUGAUCCUACGGGUGAGCGAAGUGAACGUAAUCAUAGUGACAAGAAAUAACUUCUAAAGGCUGAAGAUAUAGAGACCGUACCGCAAACCAACACAGGUAGAUAGGAUGAGAAUUCUAAGGCGCGCGAGAUAAUUUACGUUAAGGAACUCGGCAAAAUACACACGUAACUUCGGAAUAAGUGUGGCCCUUUUAGGGUUGCAGUGAAAAGGCUCAGGCGACUGUUUAACAAAAACACAGGUCUCUGCUAAUCUGUAAAGAGAUGUAUAGGGACUGACACCUGCCCGGUGCCGGAAGGUUAAGAUGAGUUGUUAGCAUUUUUGCGAAGCUUCGAUUUGAAGCCCCGGUAAACGGCGGCCGUAACUAUAACGGUCCUAAGGUAGCGAAAUUCCUUGUCGGGUAAGUUCCGACCCGCACGAAUGGUGUAACGAUCUGAGCGCUGUCUCAACGUAAAACUCGGUGAAAUUGUAAUACCGGUGAAGAUACCGGUUACCAGUGGCGGGACGAAAAGACCCCGUGAACCUUUACUGCAGCUUGAUAUUGAAAUUUGGCUUACUAUGUGUAGGAUAGGUGGGAGACUUUGAAGCAGAGUCGUCAGAUUCUGUGGAGUCAUUAGUGAAAUACCACCCUUAUUAAUUUAAAUUUCUCACAAAUACCUUGAAUCAGGUAUUUGGACAAUGUCAGGUAGGCGGUUUGACUGGGGCGGUCGCCUCCCAAACAGUAACGGAGGCGCGCGAAGGUUUUCUUACGGUGGAUGGAAAUCACCGUGUAAGUGUAAAGGCAUAAGAAAGCUUGACUGCAAGACCUACAAGUCGAGCAGGUACGAAAGUAGGCCUUAGUGAUCUGGCGGUGGCGCGUGGAAGCGCCGUCACUUAACGGACAAAAGGUACUCCGGGGAUAACAGGCUAAUACUUCCCAAGAGUUCACAUCGACGGAAGUGUUUGGCACCUCGAUGUCGGUUCAUCGCAUCCUGGGGCUGUAGCAGGUCCCAAUGGUUUGGCUGUUCGCCAAUUAAAGCGGUACGCGAACUGGGUUCAGAACGUCGCGAGACAGUUCGGUUUCUAUCUGCCACUGGCAUUGGAUGAUUGCAGGGAGCAAUUUUUAGUACGAGAGGACCAAAAUUGACAAACCUCUAGUGUACCAGUUAUCGUGCCAACGGUAAGCGCUGGGUAGCUAUGUUUGGAAAGGAUAACCGCUGAAAGCAUCUAAGUGGGAAGCCCUCUUCAAGAUUAAUCAUCCCUGAGUCUUCG